AAAGUCAAUGAUUCCCCUGAUGGCAGCAGUGGGCUGGGAAUUUCGACCCCUAAAAGAGUGCAAUGCAGGAGAAUGUGCUGCUUCUCCUCCUGAUGCUAAUCAUACAGGGGCAGUCGUUGAGCCUCUGAGAACUUCAGUUCCAGGGCUCCCAUCAGAGAAUACCAAGGAAGACUCCUCGGAUGCCACCCACAUCUCCCAAGCAAGUGUCAAGGCCAAUGAUCUCUCUGACUUUCAGUCCGUUUCCAAGUUGAACCAGGGCAAGGCAUGUGCGUGCCUGGGCCAGGAGUGCCCGUGUAAGAGAUGGCAUGGCAUGGAGGUGUACUCCUUCUCAGGCCUGCAGAAGGUCCCGCCCACGGCCCCAGAACGAAGAUCCACACUUAAGGACUACUCUCAGUCGCUCCACACCAGAACUCUGUCUGGCUCCCCCAACUCCUGUUCUGAGCAAGCUCGAGUCUAUGUGGAUGAUGUGACCAUUGAGGACCUGUCAGGCUACAUGGAAUAUUACUUGUAUAUUCCCAAGAAAAUGUCCCACAUGGCAGAAAUGAUGUACAUCUGAUAUCCAGAAGCUAAUCCUAUGCUUUAAACCAAUGAAGGGUUGUCAGAUUUAGCUAAUGGCAGACCUUGCAGCCACUUGGUGUGAGAAGACAUCUCCUGCUCACUGUGCUUGCAAUAAAAACAUUUCUUGGCAUCUCA